CUUGAUCUUCUAAUUGAAAGAAGCUUUAAAAAGGCAUUUAUAUCUAUAAUUUUUUUUUGUUAAUAUAGCUGUUCCUUUUGGAUUUGCAUGGGGAAUUCUAAAUACAAUAAGGGAUAUUGCAUCGCGAGCACAAGGACAAGCUUCAUGAACAUGAUCAGCAGAACGACUUUCAACUAACUAAAACUGCAGAAGAAGACCAAUUGGAACUGAUAUAGAAAAUUUUCAGAUAUCUACAAAUUAAAAAGAAAAUUUGCAUAGCAAAAUCAAAUAGAAAAAUUGUAGAAUUGAAUACAUGGGUUUUGAUCUGGUUAUGCUUCCUCAGGUAGAGAGAUAAAUUAAACAAAUUGGAUCGAGAAUUUUGUUAUACACUACUUUUUCACAAAUUAAUGGACAAACUUGCAAGUUGGCACAAGAUAAGCACUAUAUCGUGAGUUCGUGUAUUCAUAUAGGAACAAUAGAUUAGAAUUCAACAGGAAGCUCUGUAAGGACCUACAAAAUUCUUCUCAUGGUUUUAUUUUAACUAAUGAUUUUUGUUGUAAUAUUAAUAAAACACUUGGUAACAGUAACAGAUAAUUCCUUUCACACACUUCUCACGAUUCUUUUGUACCUGGCGAAUUUUUCACUGUUUCUCGUGAUAUAUUUAAUAGAUAAGAACUGUGUAGAAAUAAUAAAUUGCAUAGCAAUUCAAACAGAAAGUUAUUCGUUCAUUCGAAAUGGUGGAAGUUAAACAGUUUUGUAAACCCAAUUGGCUUUUUUUCCUUUUCGUGGCUCUUCACGUGCCUAGUCUCUCAAUGGGCAGACCUACACCUCAAGGAGAAGGGAAUAUAGAUGGUACUAUCUUUAAAAUUAGGAAAACUUUAUGAUUUAUAGUUUAACGAAUUCUCAAUUUUUCUUUCAAUUUCUUUUUUCUUGGUCUUUUUACACUGGAUGUGAUAUGGAAAAACUAGGAGUUAUCCAAGGUACGAUUAUAUAAAAUUAAAGAAAUUUUACAAUUUUUGUUAUUUUUUCCAUUUUUUUAUUUAUUUUUAUGAUCAAUAAUAUCUCUUAUUGGUAUAUCAUGGAACACAAUAGGGGCCAUAGAAAGUAUGUACUUGUACACAUGUACAAUAAUUUAAAAAAAAAAAAACUUAAGAUUUAUAAUUAUUUUUGUUUUUUUCAUAAUUUUCUUUUCUGGACUAAUUGAUUUCGAUUUUGGAUGUAAUACUGAAAAUUAUAGUGACAUUAGGUGAAUUAGUGGGUAUGUACUGAAUAUGUCUUUAAAAUGGAAAUAAUUAUUUUGGACUAAUUUUCUUUGUAAAUUCUCUUCUAUGUAUCUAUCAUAAUGGCACUUGGUUUCAAAAUUGGGAAUUACAGCACUUGCGGCACGUAAGUGAAUGUUUUUAAAAUGAAAGUAGACUAAAAGUA